GUCGAUGCACAACUGGUUGAUAUUCCAGUACCGCCAUAUACGCGCCAAGCUCAAUAUCGACAAAGUGGGGGCUGCCUUCGGGCGAACCUGCCUAGUUGGUUGCGGGUAACUGAAGGGGGACGCAGAAGGAUAGGUGAACCGGGGCGAUGGUAGUCCCCGGGUAAGUGUGUAGGAGGAUCCCGAUGAGAGUUGGGGUCACAUACUCUGAGACACGAUGCCGAGCACAUUUGUGCGAAGUCACUAAUUCCAUGCUGCCAAGAAAAGCCCAGCAGUGAGUAGAUAUGGCGCCCGUACCCCAAACCGACACAGGUGGGCAGGUAGAGAAUACCGAGGCGAUCGGGAGAACUAUGGUUAAGGAACUCGGCAAAAUGCCUCCGUAACUUCGGAAGAAGGAGGACCCACGUAGGGUGAAGCGACUUCGCGUCGUCAGCCUGAAUGGGUGGCACAGAGCAGGGGGUAGCGACUGUUUAACAAAAACACAGCAGCGUGCGAAGCCGCAAGGCGCUGUAUACGCUGUGACGCCUGCCCAAUGCUGGAAGGUCACGGGGAACGGUUAGUCGAAAGGCGAAGCUGUGAAUCUAAGCCCCAGUGAAUGGCGGCCGUAACUAUAACGGUCCUAAGGUAGCGAAAUUCCUUGUCGGGUAAGUUCCGACCUGCACGAAUGGCGUAACGACUUCCCCGCUGUCUCAACCAUAGACCCGGCGAAAUUGAAGUACGAGUAAAGAUGCUCGUUUGCUGCGGAAGGACGGAAAGACCCCGUGGACCUUUACUAUAACUUGGUGUUGAGUUUCGACCUGAGCUGUGUAGAAUAGGUGGGAGACUUUGAAGCUGGUGCGCUAGCACUGGUGGAGUCAUUAGUGAAAUACCACCCUGCGUAGUUUGGAGCUCUAACUUUGGUCCGUAAUCCGGAUCAGGGACAGCGCCAGGCGGGUAGUUUGACUGGGGCGGUCGCCUCCUAAAUUGUAACGGAGGCGCUCAAAGGUUCCCUCAGACUGGUUGGUAAUCAGUCGUCGAGUGUAAUGACACAAGGGAGCUUGACUGCGAGACUGACAGGUCAAGCAGGUACGAAAGCAGGACAUAGUGACCCGGCCAUUGCUUGUGGAAGCGUGGUCGCUCAACGGAUAAAAGGUACCCCGGGGAUAACAGGCUAAUCUUUCCCAAGAGUCCAUAUCGACGGAAAGGUUUGGCACCUCGAUGUCGGCUCAUCGCAUCCUGGGGCUGAAGCAGGUCCCAAGGGUUGGGCUGUUCGCCCAUUAAAGCGGUACGCGAGCUGGGUUCAGAACGUCGUGAGACAGUUCGGUCCCUAUCCUCCGCAGCCGAAAGUGAUUUGAGGAAGGCUGUCCCUAGUACGAGAGGACCGGGACGGACGGAGCUCUGGUGUGUCAGUUGUCCUGCCAAGGGCACGGCUGAUUAGCCACCUCCGGAAGGGAUAACCGCUGAAAGCAUCUAAGCGGGAAGCCCGUUCCAAGAUGAGAUCACUCAUGCAGUCAAUGCAGUAAGGCCCGUGGCGAGAUCACCACGUUGAUAGGCCGGAAGUGUACAGAUGGCAACAUCUUUAGCUGACCGGUACUAAUCGGCCGAGGGCUUGGAUUU
rnacentral:rRNA from 1 species